UCCCUCCGAGUUAGCCUUCGGCAUCUCGUUCCCCUUUUGGUCUGUCUUUUUAGGGUUCUUUAGAUCCUCCCUUCGAAACUACCCAGAAUGUCUUCCGACUCUUCUGCUCCCGUCAGUUCUAAGAGUUCUUCUGCUUCGAACCCCCAGGUCGCUGCCUCUGCGGACGAGCCUGCGUCUGGGGCGGGGCCUCACCCGGUUUUUGCACCGGGCGCCAUUCCAUGUUCGUCGACUCUGGAUGAACUCCUUCUGACAAGGGUUCGGUAUGGGG
rnacentral:lncRNA from 1 species